AAUUUGAUAGCUAAUUCUAAUUGAAACUCAUUUGGUUUAUAGAGUUUAUAACCAUGUAUAAAUGUUAUAAGGAAUUGUGAGGGCUCCGACUUAUGUCUACUUGUUGUUCUAUCAGUUGGAAAAUAUGUGGAAAUGUAAAAUCUCAAGUUUCUAGUAUAGAACAUAAGUCUGUCUUGUAUCUCACAAUGAAUGAAUUAGAUUUGUUAGAAUUGUGUCAUGUUAAAAUUAGUAUAAACGAACUUGACAGUAUAGACACAUUAAUUUGUUUCCUAUUUGGUCAUGUAAUUUAAGAGUUGCGUUAGGCUUUGUUUCUAUUUGUUUAGAGAAGAACAAAUCUUUACUUUGUUAACCACAAGGUUAUUAGACCUUUUUAUACUAGUAUUAAUAUUAGUAUUAUUAUUGUGUUUUAAGAGUGAUUCUAGUAUCACAGUUGGUUCCUUCAAAUUUAAGAAUGGUCAUAGCGCCAUAUUCCCUAUGAUUUGAAUGGUCUUAG
rnacentral:lncRNA from 1 species